ACGUUUAAAAUGCUAAUAUCAAGUGCGAAAUGUGAAUAUAACAUCUUAAAGCUACGGAUCGAAGCAUAGUUACCGUAAGUUCUUCUUUGUUUAUG